UACGAAGGGGGCUAGCGUUGCUCGGAUUGACUGGGCGUAAAGGGCGCGUAGGCGGUUCGUACAGUCAGACGUGAAAUUCCUGGGCUCAACCUGGGGGCUGCGUUUGAUACGUGCGGACUUGAGUGCGGAAGAGGGUCGUGGAAUUCCCAGUGUAGAGGUGAAAUUCGUAGAUAUCGGGAGGAACACCAGUGGCGAAGGCGGCGAUCUGGGAAGAUACUGACGCUGAGGCGCGAAAGCCAGGGGAGCAAACGGG
rnacentral:rRNA from 1 species